rnacentral:rRNA from 1 species
UACGUAGGGUGCAAGCGUUAAUCGGAAUUACUGGGCGUAAAGCGUGCGCAGGCGGUGAUGUAAGUCAGAUGUGAAAUCCCCGGGCUCAACCUGGGAACUGCAUUUGUGACUGCAUCGCUAGAGUACGGCAGAGGGGGAUGGAAUUCCGCGUGUAGCAGUGAAAUGCGUAGAUAUGCGGAGGAACACCGAUGGCGAAGGCAAGCCCCUGGGCCUGUACUGACGCUCAUGCACGAAAGCGUGGGGAGCAAACAGG